rnacentral:rRNA from 1 species
UACAAUGGCGUAAACAAAGGGAAGCAGCCCUGUGAAGGUGAGCAAACCCCAAAAUAACGUCCCAGUUCGGAUUGUAGUCUGCAACCCGACUACAUGAAGCUGGAAUCGCUAGUAAUCGCGAAUCAGCAUGUCGCGGUGAAUACGUUCCCGGGUCUUGUACACACCGCCCGUCACACCAUGGGAGUUGGUAACGCCCGAAGUCAGUGACCUAACCGAAAGGGAGGAGCUGCCGAAGGCGGGGCCGGUAACUGGGGUGAAGUCGUAACAAGGUACC